ACAUUAAUAUCAAUCUAAUGACAUUCCAUAGGAAUAAAAAUCCAAUGGGAUCCAGUUCUUAGCAGUCCCAGCCUAGUCAGAAGUACAAAGUCAAAUACCAUUUGCACAUCACCAAGAGGUACAAUCUGAUGAGUAACAGGAUAUCUGAUCUAAAAGCUUGCCAGGUUUCACAAGCAGUUUGAGUAUCACCAGGGCAGAUCAAGAAGAAAUAUGAAGGCCAGGUUCAUAACAAGCAGUUUCUUCAUUGCAAUUACAGAUUUAAAAACUUGAAUGAA